rnacentral:rRNA from 1 species
GGAGUUAGCCGGUGCUUCUUCUGCGAGUAACGUCACAGAUGUAAGGUAUUAACUUACACCCUUUCCUCCUCGCUGAAAGUGCUUUACAACCCGAAGGCCUUCUUCACACACGCGGCAUGGCUGCAUCAGGGUUUCCCCCAUUGUGCAAUAUUCCCCACUGCUGCCUCCCGUAGGAGUCUGGGCCGUGUCUCAGUCCCAGUGUGGCUGAUCAUCCUCUCAGACCAGCUAGGGAUCGUCGCCUAGGUGAGCCUUUACCUCACCUACUAGCUAAUCCCACCUGGGCUUAUCCAUCAGCGCAAGGCCCGAAGGUCCCCUGCUUUCCCCCGUAGGGCGUAUGCGGUAUUAGCAGUCGUUUCCAACUGUUAUCCCCCACAAAUGGGCAAAUUCCCAGGCAUUACUCACCCGUCCGCCGCUCGUCAUCUUCAAAAGCAAGCUUUUGAAAUGUUACCGCUCGACUUGCAUGUGUUAGGCCUGCCGCCAGCGUUCAUCCUGAGCCAUGAUCAAACUCUGA